GUGCUCACUUCAGCAGCACAUAUACUAAAAGUGGAACAAUACAGAGGAGAUUAGCAUGGCCCCUGUGCAAGGAUGCUAUGUGAAUUUGUGAAGCAUUCCAUAUUUUU
ensembl:snRNA U6 U6 spliceosomal RNA